rnacentral:lncRNA from 1 species
UAGCUCUCCUUGGCUCCGCCCUGCGCCCGAUUGAGUUGGUAGUGGCGUUCGCAAGCGGGCGGUGAAGGCGCUGGCGAGUGGAGGAGCUCACGCGCUUUUGGAUCUCGGGUUUCCCAGGUUGGCCUCAAACUUUCUCUUAGCUGAGGAGGACCUUGAACUUCUGAUCCCGCUACCCAAACCCACCUCCAGAGUGCUGGGAUUAAGG